UUCCGCCUGGGGAGUACGGUCGCAAGAUUAAAACUCAACAGGAAUUGACGGGGGCCGCACAAGCGGUGGAGCAUGUGGUUUAAUUAGAAGGAACGCGCAGAACCUUACCAGAAUUUGACAUUCGGGGUAUGGGCAUUGGAGCCGAUGUCCUUCAGUUAGGCAGGCCCCAGAACAGGUGCUGCAUGGCUGUAGUCAGCUCGAGUCGUGAGAUGUUGGGUUAAGUCCCGCAUCAAGCGCAACCCUGGCCCUUAGUUGCCCGCAUUUAAUUGGGCAUUCUAAGGGGAUUGCCGGUUUUAACCUGAGAAGAAGGAAGUGAAGUUACCUAGUCCUCAUGGCCCUUACCGGGUAUGAAACGCAGUUGCUCAAAUGGGGGGGGCGGUUUGCAGCGAGACAUAAAUAUCGACCUAAUUUCCAAAAACCACCAGAAAUUCGAUUGCACUCUAGCACCCUUGGGCAUGAAGUGGGAAUCGGCAGGAAGUUAACAGGGGCUUGUUGUCGGGAAACCGUCAUUAUGCUUAUUACAGAAAGACCUUCACAACCAUGGGAGCCGGUAUUACCCAAAGGGCAUGGGUGGAUCGCACGGAGGCAGAUUACCAAAUAUUGCUCAGUGCUGCCUCCGAAAUGAGUUAAGGAGUAAC
rnacentral:rRNA from 1 species